GAUGAACGCUGGCGGCGUGCCUAAUACAUGCAAGUCGAACGCUGGAACUCUAGCUUGCUAGAUUGAAGGAGUGGCGAACGGGUGAGUAAUACAUAAGCAACCUACCCACGAAGACUGGGAUAAUCUCUGGAAACGGGGACUAAUACCGGAUAGGUAAUCGGAAGGCAUCUUCUGAUUAUUAAGGGUUAAAAACACUGGUGGAUGGGCUUAUGGCGCAUUAGUUAGUUGGUGAGGUAACGGCCCACCAAGACGAUGAUGCGUAGCCGGCCUGAGAGGGUGAACGGCCACAUUGGGACUGAGACACGGCCCAGACUCCUACGGGAGGCAGCAGUAGGGAAUUUUCGGCAAUGGGGGAAACCCUGACCGAGCAACGCCGCGUGAGUGAUGACGGCCUUCGGGUUGUAAAGCUCUGUUGUAAGGGAAGAACGGUAGAUAGAGAAUAUCUAAAUGACGGUACCUUACCAGAAAGCCACGGCUAACUACGUG
rnacentral:rRNA from 1 species